UAACAGUCGAACGAACCUUCGGUUAGGUUACCGGACGGGUGAGUACGCAAUCUGCCCUCAGUGAGGGGGACAACAGCUGGAAACGGCUGCUAAUACCCCUUAUGCCGCGAGGUGAAAUGAAUUUCGCCUGAGUGAUGAGCUCGCGUCUGAUUAGCUAGUUGGUGUAGGUAAUGGCUCACCAAGGCAUCGAUCAGUAGCUGGUCUGAGAGGAUGAUCAGCCACACUGGGACUGAGACACGGCCCAGACUCCUACGGGAGGCAGCAGUGGGGAAUUUUCCGCAAUGGGCGAAAGCCUGACGGAGCAACGCCGCGUGAGGGAUGAAGUGCCUCUGGGCUGUAAACCUCUUUUAUCAAGGAAGAAGAUCUGACGGUACUUGAUGAAUAAGCCACGGCUAAUUCCGUGCCAGCAGCCGCGGUAAUACGGGAGUGGCAAGCGUUAUCCGGAAUUAUUGGGCGUAAAAGCGUCCGCAGGCGGCCCUUCAAAGUCUGCUGUUAACAAAGUGGAGCUUAACUCCAUCAUGGCAGUGGACACACUUGUUGGGCUUGAAGUGUGGUACGGGGCAGAGGGGAAUUUCCCCGGGGUGGUUAUCCCGGCGUGAAAAUGCGUUAAGAUAUUACGGGAACCACACCACCCAGUUGGGCGAAAGGCGCAUCUGACUUGGGGCCAUCAACUUGGAACGGCUCCUUAGGAACGAAAAAGCACAGUGCCAACGAAAAGUGCAUAGAUACCACCAGUAAUCCAGACCGUAACAAUACACUAGGUCUCAGGGAAAUCAAACACCUACG
rnacentral:rRNA from 1 species